AUUAGGUUUGACUAUGUUCUAUUGACUAGUUAAAAUAGUGUUAUUUAAAUUUAAUUCACUUAGUGGACAAUGAAAAUUUAUCCCGGUAAUUUAUUGCUCGUAUAAACUUUGUACCAGAAUAAUCGGCUACACUUAGUGAGCUUAUACUCUAAAUGUGUUUUAAUUAAAAUUAUAAUAAAUUUUUUAGUUUUUAUUAGUAGAAUAAGAAAACUUGUUUAUAUUUGUUUUAAUUAAUAAGAUUAGAAAUAUGACCCAGAUUAGUACCUGGUUAAUCUAAAUUCAAAAUUUCAGGAGUAAAGUUAUAUUUAAACUGUAAGAGUAUUGGCAGAUUCUUUAAUUAUCUUUGGAGGCUGAGUAGUAAUUGAGAACCCUCAUUAUUAACUUCUUUUUUAGGUGCAUGUAUGUUCGUUUAUUUUAUUCUUAAAGAUUAAUAAUUAAGUUUUUUAACUUUUAAAAUAGAUAAAUACCUGAUUUAUAAAGAAGUGUGUAAUUUGGCCUACAAUAUUUUAUAUUGUGAAUAAUUUAAAGAGAUUUAAAUUUGAAAAUGUAAAAGACAGUAAAUUUAUUUUAAUGGUAAAUUGAAGAUUAUCAAAGAAUGGCACAAAUCAUCCAUCAAUUGUCUAAAGGAGAGUAAGUUGUAGUAAAGUAGGUUUAGAGGAAUCUGUACCUAGUAGU
rnacentral:ncRNA from 1 species